UGGGUAUAGCUCAGUGGCAGAGCAGUUGCCUAGCAUGUAAGAAGCCCUGGGUUAGAUUCCCAGCACUGCAA
rnacentral:tRNA from 1 species